rnacentral:rRNA from 1 species
UGGGGAAUAUUGCACAAUGGGGGAAACCCUGAUGCAGCGACGCCGCGUGAGCGAAGAAGGUUUUCGAAUCGUAAAGCUCUGUCCUAUGAGAAGAUAAUGACGGUAUCAUAGGAGGAAGUCCCGGCUAAAUACGUGCCAGCAGCCGCGGUAAUACGUAUGGGGCGAGCGUUGUCCGGAAUUAUUGGGCGUAAAGGGUACGUAGGCGGUCUAUUAAGUCAGGUGUGAAAGCGUGAGGCUUAACCUCAUUAAGCACUUGAAACUGAUAGACUUGAGGGAAGGAGAGGAAAGGGGAAGUCCUAGUGUGGCGGUGAAAUGCGUAGAUAUUAGGAGGAAUACCGGUGGCGAAGGCGACUUUCUGGACUUUUACUGACGCUCAGGUACGAAAGCGUGGGGAGCAAACAAG